AUUUCGAUAAGGCUGAAAAGUUGAAAAGAGGCAGACACUGGGUCGUCCUUCCAUGAGGGAGCAGACGACAGUUUAGUGCUAGAUGGUGAACAGAUCUGGCCAGGAGAGAUGGAAGUUGCCAUGGUUUCAAAUUUGUUUCGGCUAUAAUUUCAACAGACACAGGAUCUCCUGAAGGGAUUUCCAGACAACCAGUCAGAAUUGAAGAAACUGCGAAACAAUGUGAAGUCGUUUCAGUCAGUGAGAUGGCACGACCAGUGGGCCCGACUUGCUCUCCCAUUGUUUCAGGACAAAGUGAAGACAGACUGAUGGUCAACAUUUACCCUUGUUUUAAUCAUGUUAUAUAAAACAUAUUGUUACCAAAA